rnacentral:rRNA from 1 species
GAUGAACGCUAGCGGCAGGCUUAACACAUGCAAGUCGAGGGGUAUAGUUAGCUUGCUAACUUGAGACCGGCGCACUGGUGCGUAACGCGUAUGCAAUCUACCUUUUACAGAGGGAUAGCCCAGAGAAAUUUGGAUUAAUACCUCAUAGUAUCUUUGCCUGGCAUCAGGUGAUUAUUAAAGUUCCAACGGUAAAAGAUGAGCAUGCGUCCUAUUAGCUAGAUGGUAAGGUAACGGCUUACCAUGGCAACGAUAGGUAGGGGUCCUGAGAGGGAGAUCCCCCACACUGGUACUGAGACACGGACCAGACUCCUACGGGAGGCAGCAGUGAGGAAUAUUGGACAAUGGGCGCAAGCCUGAUCCAGCCAUGCCGCGUGCAGGAAGAAGCAUCUAUGGUGUGUAAACUGCUUUUGUACGGGAAGAAACACUCCCUCGUGAGGGAGCUUGACGGUACCGUAAGAAUAAGGAUCGGCUAACUCCGUGCCAGCAGCCGCAGUAAGAC